ensembl:lncRNA
GUGAGUGCUCACAUGGCUCAGUGCUUCCCCGGCCCCCCCCCCCGGCACCCCUCCUGCCCCACCUCGCAGGGCCUCAACCUCCCGCCGGCAUUUAAUUACUCCGAGCUCCCAGCCUCGCCGGUGUGUUUAAUAUGAGCUAUGUAAAUUUCUCCCAAGAAUGAUAGGAUUUUGACAGCCUGAUUUGCCUCGCAGGCAUACUCAAGCCAGCUCAUUUUCUCUUCCCUGGAAAUUUUUGAGUGGUCGGGUGGCAUUUGAUUACCAUUGGCUGGCAUAUCUGAGCUCUGGGGUUGAGCAUAAAGAUAUUUUAAAUUUAAUAGGUUUAAGAUGUCAUUAUUUCCAUGCUGAUGAAUUUAUACUUGUAGCCAGAGAAACUUAGAGCAUUUAAUGAACUUAUUUAGUUCAUGGUGCAAGCUUUAAACGCAAUCCCAAGUAUAAAAUUAAAUCAUGUUGGAUAAAAACUAACACCCAGAAGCUAAAACUGAGCGGGGUAAAUGAAUGAAUUUAUAAAGAUAGAAUAAAUACAGACAUAAGGCACCUAGGGGACAGAUUUACUAAGACUUUUUGCACUGUUUUCAAUGGAGCUUGUAAUAGCAUAAAAGAAUUAAAUCUGAUUUACUAGGGAGGAUUUGUACAGUAUUUCACCACCUGCUUCCCAGUGCCAGCAGCCCCUUCCCCAUCGCUCCCACCGUCAGCAGGAGCUCUGGGCACAGCCAAACACGUGGCAGAGAAAUCUCCAGCUUUGCUGAAAAGUGCACAAGCAACCGGAGAAGAAAGCAAUGCAAUCCAAGAGGAUCAACAGAGCCAUUCUAUGAAAAUCAAUUCUAAUUCUAACCCAGUCAAUAAGGAGCUGCAUCAGAUGGGAGAGGGAUGGGUGUGCCGUGGUAGCUUUGAAGUCUCCUUCCCAGGCUCGCUGUGCCAAGGCCUUACUGAAUGUCUUUCAAACCCUACACACUUUCAUAGUCUGCACAAAGAAGGUAGCACCUCAGUAGUAAUAGGAGUCUGCAGUUUUCCCCAUAAAACAUUGCCCAGGCAAUGUGGGGUCAUGAGACUCAGGACAGGUUUGGAAAUGCCAUAAAAAACCUUUCUUAUUUGAAGCAAUCAGAAAGCCCAGGUGAGGAAAUGCAACUCUUGAUUCAUUCCUGAGGAACUCACUGAAGACAUGUUUCUAUAAAGAGCAGGAAAGUUGGACUGCAUGUUCUCUCUGUUUAAAUGAAAAUACCUGCUCUUAACCCAAACCACGGCCAGUGCACCACACAAAAUGGGGCACUGGAGGGAAUAGGAGCACGCUAUCUAAUUUCCUAAUUUUCCCGUCAGCUUUCUGGCUUUCAAAAUGAUUGCGGCAGAAAUCUAUAAAACGAGGACGAGGGGAGCAAACUUAAUGCCGCCGUAAAUCUCCAAAAUGGAUGCAGAAACACAGUGCUCAAAGAGGAGUAAAUAAAAGUGAGGAGAGAUUCAUUCCGGUUUUCUUCUCUGUAAACCUGCUGGCAGCUUGGAAUUAUUCAGAAAACAACAUUUAACUGAGAAAAAGGGAACCCUGUAAAAUAGUAAAGAUUAUUCCGUAAAGCUAAGCACCCUCCAUCAAUCAUAGCUGGGAACAUUGCUAAGUUAUAGGAACCCACAGAUGGCUGUCAUUAAAGGGAAAGAGUCUCUCCCGCUCGGUGGGCUGUGCUGCUCCGCGCUGUACGGUUGCAAAUCGAGCUGCUUUCAUGGGGGAGCAACAAAAGUGGUUUUAAAAUAGGAAUUUCAAACAGAAGCUGCGUGAGCUGUUCAGCAGGACUCGGGCUUAUUGAGAAACCACAGCGGUAAUUUCAGGCCUGAUUUAC